rnacentral:rRNA from 1 species
GACGAACGCUGGCGGCGUGCUUAACACAUGCAAGUCGAACGGAAAGGCCCUGCUUUUGUGGGGUGCUCGAGUGGCGAACGGGUGAGUAACACGUGAGUAACCUGCCCUUGACUUUGGGAUAACUUCAGGAAACUGGGGCUAAUACCGGAUAGGAGCUCCUGCUGCAUGGUGGGGGUUGGAAAGUUUCGGCGGUUGGGGAUGGACUCGCGGCUUAUCAGCUUGUUGGUGGGGUAGUGGCUUCCCAAGGUUUUGACGGGUAGCCGGCCUGAGAGGGUGACCGGCCACAAUGGUACUAAGGUACGGCCCAGUCUGCUACGGGAGGCAGCAGUGGAAAAUAUUGCACAAUGGGCGGACGCCUGAUGUAGCGGCCCCGCGUGCGGGAUGACGGCCUUCGGGUUAUGAACCGCUUUCGCCUGUGACGAGGCGUGAGUGACGGUAAUGGGUAAAGAAGCACCGGCUAACUACGUG